rnacentral:rRNA from 1 species
UUGGAACUGGCAUGGCUAGAGACUGGACGGAGUAGGCGGAAUGCGUGGUGUAGCGGUGAAAUGCAUAGAUAUCACGCAGAACCCCGUUGGCGAAGGCGGCCUACUAGGGCAGGACUGACACUGAGGCACGAAAGCGUGGGUAUCAAACAGGAUUAGAUACCCUGGUAGUCCACGCAGUAAACGAUGAUUACUAAGGGUUUGCGAUAGACCGUAAGUCCUACAGCGAAAGCGUUAAGUAAUCCACCUGGGGAGUACGCCGGCAACGGUGAAACUCAAAGGAAUUGACGGGGGCCCGCACAAGCGGAGGAACAUGUGGUUUAAUUCGAUGAUACGCGAGGGACCUUACCCGGGAUUGAACGCAGGGGGACGUGUCGGGAAACCGGCAUUCCAGCAAUGGCCGCCUGCGAGGUGCUGCAUGGUUGUCGUCAGCUCGUGCCGUGAGGUGUCGGCUCAAGUGCCAUAACGAGCGCAACCCCAACGUCCAGUUACCAGCGGUCAAAGCCGGGGACUCUGGACGGACUGCCGGCGCAAGCCGUGAGGAAGGGUGGGAUGACGUCAAAUCAGCACGGCCCUUACAUCCGGGGCGACACACGUGUUACAAUGGCGCGGACAGAGAGCAGCGAUUAUGCGAGUAAGAGCGAAUCUCGAAACCGCGUCUCAGUUCGGAUCGGAGUCUGCAACCCGACUCCGUGAAGCUGGAUUCGCUAGUAAUCGCGCAUCAGCCAUGGCGCGGUGAAUACGUUCCCGGGCCUUGUACACACCGCCCGUCAAGCCAUGGGAGCCGGGGGUGCCUGAAGGCCGUAACCGCAAGGGGCGGUCUAGGGCAAUACUGGUGACUGGGGCUAAGUCGUAACAAGGUAACCA